AAUUAUUAUAUCAAAUUUAAUUUAUUUGAACACAAAAUCUCCGUUCAAAGGAAUUUAUAUAAAAUCAGAUUAGAAUAUUACGAAUUGUUUAAAGAUCAGCUUUAAUUAAGUCGUUUAUUAAAUAACAAUUAAUAAUAUAUUAUACAAUAAUAGAAAUAGAAUUACUGUUUUAUAAUAUUUUUCUCGAGAUACAAAUUAUUAUUACUAUUGUUGUUGUUAAAAUAGACACUGGAAAAUUUAAAAAAAAAUGUUAAAAACAAAAGAGAGAUGUUCAAAACAUAGAAACGUUUGGGAGUUUGUAAUAGGGCAGCUUUCUGGAAUCGGGGAUUACUCUUUAGUAAACUAGCAAGCGCCAAAGCGCGUAGAGUAAAUCCGAGCUUUGGAUGCAGACGUGGCAACGGUUGACAUAACUGCCGUGUAAACGGAACUUCAAUUUGCGUUGGGAUUAAACAUUAACCGCUUAAGGCGGCAGGAAAUCUUAUGCUUUCAUACUGUGCAACUCCUGAGUACGCUGCACCAUUUCUCAGUGGCUUAGGACCGUCUCGGAGUCCGUUUCGUGUAUUUCGAUCUCUCUGGAUUUUCGGGAUAUGCAUGAAGGACAUAUAAAUCCGGCUCACGCCAACAAUGUUCUCUACUUAACGAUAAAGACUGUCGGAAGUCUGUUUACUUGAAUUCGCAUUCUAGAAGAUUGCGCCUUGUAGGCGAUUUCUUCUGCAUAUAUCCGGAGAUGUAUGGAAAAUCUACAGCUUUACGCCGAUUCCGAACUGUCUAUUAGAAGAGACUUUCCUUUCGGUAGAGUUACUUUCGAUGGUUUACCUUCCGAGAGGUGACAAUCACUUCUUCCAAAUCGAUUAAAACCGAUUUAGAGUUGUAUUGUCCUGGGUGGAUUUAAACCUGCAGAGUCUUUGGCACAGAAAGCCGACGCGCAGCUCUCUUCGCGCCACGAUCGUUAAUUAAAAAAAAAUGUAAUUGUGCCCUUAAUUAUGAAGCAAAAUUAAAAAGAGAAAACCGUCGCUUUUUCACUUGCUGCAUGACAUUACUGGACACACAACUGUAGUCGGAGAGUAAUGGGAAAGAAACGUAUAUACAAUGAUUUACAACUAAAGAGAUUUCUCGCAUGCGCGAUUGAACAAAGAUGCAAAUGAUCUUCUUGUAGUACUACCGCUCUCAUCAGGGGCCAUACAGCCAGAGCAAGCGAAGAUAAUAAGUAUUUGCGAUUCCUUUGCUAUUUGUCAGAAGCGUGGUUGUCUUCCCCUCUGACCUCUUAUCAAUUUCUGUGGUGUGCGCCAUUUACAAUUUACACAGAUAUACGGGACCUACAAUUUUAACGCCGAUUUCCGAACGGCCUAAUUUAGAGGAGUGACAAAGGCCAUACUCUCGGUGGUUUGCCAUUGCCUUCCGAGAGCGGUC